rnacentral:rRNA from 1 species
UACGUAGGGCGCAAGCGUUAUCCGGAAUUAUUGGGCGUAAAGAGCUCGUAGGCGGUUUGUCGCGUCUGCCGUGAAAGUCCGGGGCUCAACUCCGGAUCUGCGGUGGGUACGGGCAGACUAGAGUGAUGUAGGGGAGACUGGAAUUCCUGGUGUAGCGGUGAAAUGCGCAGAUAUCAGGAGGAACACCGGUGGCGAAGGCGGGUCUCUGGGCAACAACUGACGCUGAGGAGCGAAAGCGUGGGGAGCGAACAGG